rnacentral:lncRNA from 1 species
CAGACUAGGAAUGCUGGGAAGGAGACAGAGAGUGAGUCUCGGAGACACCACAUAGCUGCUGAAGGAGUAACAUUCUAGAGCAUUACUGGACUGAUUGACUAAAAUCCAGCUGUCUCCACUGAUCCACGGCAGUAGACUUAUGGAUGUACUCAACAACCACACCUGGAUCUUUUACAAGAAUCUUGGGAAUACGAACUCGUGUUCUUAUGGUCGCAGACACUUUGCCAACUGAGCCAUUUCAUCAGCCCCAACUUCAUGUCUUUAUAAAAGCACUCAACUUCAACUUUUCAGAAUACUAACAGAAAGCAAACCAAUACAUUAAUUAGGAUGUAAGAUUGUGAGCUAGAAGCCAUCAGAACCACUGGUUGAUUGCACUUUGGGAAUGAAUGAAACAGGAAGAUUUUAUCAUUCCAUCAGCUACUUCUCCAGUUGCAGAACUGACCCACUCAACACUCCAACAAACCUCUUCUACCAUGGAACCCUCUGAAUUACAGUAACAACUGGUCUAAGAUACGUCAUGAGUACAACAGCAAGAACAAUGUUAUGAGGGUAGCCUGCUGCUUACUCAUUGGUUUUAAGGCCUGUUCCAGAAGAGAAAAUUCAUGCCCACUACCAUAAAUCUGGCUAUGAACCUGUG